UCAAUCUCUAAGCAUAUGGAGAAUGACUGCCAAGAAGAUCUACUAAACAAACAUAUCUGAUAUCACCUAAUAGCUGAGGCUGGUGAAAGAGUCCUGCCUAAUCUUCUGAGAUUAACCAUGGCUUCCAUUAUCUGGAAUUUUCAGCAAACCAACAGGGAAGAGGAAAGCUCCUCAGUGAAGACCAAGAGCAUGCCAUUGUAGGAUUGGUCAUUGCUGACAAUGCAAUAAAACUGAGAAAAAAUCAUACCUGAAUUGUAGAGGACAACCUGGUAUUUCACAACGUGGAAAGCAUCAGCCUGAUUACCACUGGCUCGGACUCUGACCAAACACAGUUUGAAUGAAACAGUUGUGCACAGUUCCUUUUGAAAGGAACAGUGAGCGGGUCAAGGAUCUCCGGCACCAAUACGUCCAGAAAGUUGUGGAGUUGGAGGCUAAUCAGACCCCACAUUAAAUCAUUUAUGUAGACGAGGCAGGGUUUAACCUGGCAGAAACAUGGAGGCGGGGAAGAAACGUAAUCGGGAAAAGGGCCACCGUUGACGUGCCGGGUCAGAGAGGAACAAGUAUCAUAAUGUGUGCUGCAAUCCCGAGUGCUGGUUUGGUCCUGCAGAAAUGCCAGAUUGGUUCCUACAAUACUGAGCGCCUUCUUUUUUUUUUUUUUAAUCUUUUUUUUUUAGAUGACCUUGACCAACAACUGGUGCCAGAAGCAGGAAGGGAACAGGUGGGAGGAAACAUGAGGACAUUUGUGAUUGCAUGGGACAAUGUAGCAUUCCACCAUUCACAUGCAAUCACAAACUGGUUCACCUCUUUCCUACUUCCC